UCGUUCUGGCCAUGGUAUCCUGGCUGCAGCUGCUGGUGCUAUUGGGGCUGCUCCCGGGCGCAGCUCCUGCCCCCGCCAAGCCCCGAGGUACCGGCAAUGAGGCCUGGGGGCCGCCGUCCCCUGUGCUGCUGGAGCCCGCUUCACCCUCGAGAUGCACAACCGGGGCCGGGCUCCGGGGACACAGGCGGUGCUGCGAGCCGUGCGCGGCCGCAUCCACCAGGCGGAUCAGGGGUCACUGUACUCCUUGGAGGCCUCCUUGGAGGAGCCACCCUGCAACGACCCCACGGUGUACCAGCUCCCAGUGUCCAAGAAAACUGCUCUGCAGCUUUGAAAUCCUGGACGAGCUAGGAAAACACAUGCUGCUGAGGAAGGACUGUGGCGCAGUGGAUACCAAGGUUACAGAUGAGAAAAACAACACUUUGAGUUCAGUCAUUUCACUGUUGAAAAACAGUCCUCUGUCCAAGGACUUUUCCAUGAAGAUGCUUUCAGUCUUCAAGGACUUUCUCACCACCUAUAACCGGACAUACGAGAGUAAAGAAGAAACUCAGUGGUGCCUGUCCAUCUUCAUCAAUAACAUGGUAUGAGCACAGAAGAUCCAGGCCCUGGAUCAAGGCACAGCUCAUUAUGGGGUUACCAAGUUCAGUGAUCUCACAGAAGAGGAGUUCCAUACCAUCUACCUGAAUCCUCUCCUCCGAGAAGAUCUUGGCAAGAAGAUGCAAGUAGUCAAGCCUGUGGGUGACCCUGCCCCACCUGAAUGGGACUGGAGGAAUAAGGGGGCUGUCACUAACGUUAAGAAACAGGGUAUGUGUAGCUCCUGCUGGGCUUUCUCAGUCACAGGCAAUGUGGAGGGCCAGUGGUUCCUGAACCAGGGGACCCUGCUGUCCCUCUCUGAGCAGGAGCUCUUGGACUGUGACAAGAUGGACAAAGCCUGCCUGGGUGACUUACCCUCCAACGCCUACUCAGCCAUAAAGAAUUUGGGAGGGCUGGAGACAGAAGAGGACUACAGCUACCAGGGCCAAAUGCAGGCCUGCAACUUCUCAGCAGAGAAGGCCAAAGUCUACAUCAAUGAUUCGGUGGAGCUGAGCCAUAAUGAGCAAAAACUGGCGGCCUGGCUGGCCAAGAAAGACCCGAUCUCCAUUGCCAUCAAUGCCUUUGGCAUGCAGUUCUACCACCAUGGGAAAUCACGCCCACUCCGGCCUCUCUGCACCCCUUGGCUCAUCGACCACGCUGUACUGAUAGUGGGCUAUGGAAACUGCUCUGACAUUCCCUUCUGGGCCAUCAAGAACAGUUGGGGCACCGACUGGGGCGAACAGGGCUACUACUACUUGCACCGUGGGUCCAGGGCUUGUGGAGUGAACACUAUGGCUAGCUCAGCGGUGGUGGAAUGAGGAGCCUGCUGGCUCAGGACCUGGUGCCAACAGGAGCAGCCCCUCCCCCAGCCUGACCUGCAUGUCCAGGCCCCUCCCCAAGAGGGCCAGCUGGCUGAGGGUACAGCACUGAGUAACUUGGGGUGAGCAAAGGACACCCAGCUAGCACAGCCCUACUCCCUGCCACCCACUCCCAUCCCGCAGC